UAUGUUUUUCAGUUUAACGACAACCUUACUCGUGUGCGUUUCAUAUAUUUCGUUUUUGUAUAAAAAUGUACAGUGAAAAACUUACAAGAUUUACGCGUGAUUGGCGGUAUUAAGUUCUGUUUUCACCGCAUAAUACGUAAUGAAAUUCAACGAUGGACGUGUACAAAAAAAAAAUUUAUUUUUUUUAUAAUAUGAUACAAAUUUUAUUCAAAUAGAAAAUAAUCUUAAACAUAACCACGCGGCCGUUGAAGAACGAUUACUUGUACGGCAGAAGAUAAGCAAUUGUGUAAAGUGCAAAGCGGUAGGGCAACCAUGUGAACGUCAGAGCAAAAGAAUACAUUCUGAGAUAACAUCAAAUGAUUUAAAUGUAUUAGACACGAAGGAUACAAAUGUAAUCCGAAAAAAUAUUCACACUGUUCGUAUGAAUUCUGAAAAUUAUUCUGAGUAAACCAAAAGUCAAUGGAUUUGGCUACGCAAAGUCACAUUGCAGUAACCCACGGACCACAAUCAAAAUCAUUCGUUUGAACGGGACACUCACCAUUCACGACCACCAAUUCCGUAUGCUCUUCCAGAAUGCUAUUUCUAGCCUCCAUGAAUUAUUUAAUGACUUGCCCUAUAUGCUUAAUACUAUUUCCUUUCAGACUGUUUUAGGUGACAAUACGACCAGUAUUCAUGUAAACCGACACCAGUAUGUAGUGUUUGUCCAAAAUUAUUGGAAUUAAUAAUAAGGUGUAGCAUGCUUUUAGUCAUUUUAACCAUUUGUAUAAUUGGAUCUAGAAAAUCCAGUCUUUUCACAUGGCCAAUUAUAUGUGGCGUGUUCUCGCCAGUGGCGUAAUUCGGAAAAAAUAUCAGGGGUUGCAAAAGUUACUCGGAAUGCGCAAACCCGUGGGAGCUUGAGAUGUUUGCAUUUUAUCA